CAGGUCUUCACCUCGCAGGAGCCCGAAACACCGUGGCACUUGCAUUCCACUCGCAUGUGGUUCAGAAUCGCCUGGGGAUGGUUCAUUAGGGCUCUGUUGGAGGACUGGCCUUUACUUCGUUCCCUGAUGUCCACAAACGACGUGGAAAAAGCAACCCCAUAUGCAAUAUUAUCUGAGCAUCCUGACCACUGGAAACCUGUCGAGAUGAAGACGGUCGAGUGGAGAAGGUAGUGAGAAAUCUGCCGUUUUAUCAGUCCAUAUGGAGACAAAGUUGUUUGCAAGGGACACUCUCCAGCGUGGAGCAGUUCCAGCGGCGGUUGCGGAACUGAAACUGGCACUCGUCGAUGGCGAGCUGGGCUCCCCUGCGGACCGCGUCCAUCACCUCCACGUUCCGCUUGCAGAUCUGCACCUGCCUCUGGAUGAGUCCUCGGAGCUUCUCACAGGUUUCUUCAUCAGAGAUGCUCCCCACUGAGGACAGCUUUGCCAGCACAAACAGCACAGAUCUGAACGCUGCGGCUCUCCUGGGACGUUCUUGGAAGGCUGUGCUCGACAGAAGAGGUACGGCUGAUGUUGAGAGAGGCGGAUAGAGACUAUCUUCACCCAUCACCUCCAGGGCCAGGGGGUCGGGGCGACACCAUCGCUUUAAUGGGUCUGCCGAGCUCCAUCUCUUAAAGGCACCUUAUAAAAAUAGUCCUAUACUACAACGCAGCGCACAGAUUUCCUCCGUACACACCAAGCUUGCUCUCAUUAUCAUCAAGAACGGGUGGAGAUCAAAGUCUUGACUGUUUAAGUUCUGCACAGAUGCAUUUAGCGGGUUGCGUGCAGGUGAUGUUUGCAAGAGUACUCACGGACAGCUUUGUUUGGUGUUAUUUGUCUCUAAAGGUCUUUUGGUGUGGUACUGAGUAAUCCGAAAGUACGCCCAAAUGUAUCUCGGAUGAAAGUCUCCGGACGGCUUUGAAGUAAAUGCUAAGUUCACUGCGAUGCCAUUGUUGGACCUCAAAGACCCAUUUAUUCCUAUAAAGAACAUUUUAAAAUUCAAAGAAACUUUUUCCACCGUAAAGAACCGCUAGUUUAGACGCUUUACAAGUUAGAAUUUGUUAACACACCAACUAACAAUGAUAAAAGUGUUUUUCUAAACUGUUUAUUAUUCUUAGUUAAAGGAGUAGUUCACUUUUAAGAAAACUUUUGCUGAUAAUUUACUCACCCCCAUGUCAUCCAAGAUGUCCACGUCUUUCUUUCUUCAGUCGA